GACGAACGCUGGCGGCGUGCCUAAUACAUGCAAGUAGAACGCUGAAGAGAGGAGCUUGCUCUUCUUGGAUGAGUUGCGAAUGGGUGAGUAACGCGUAGGUAACCUGCCUUGUAGCGGGGGAUAACUAUUGGAAACGAUAGCUAAUACCGCAUAACAAUGGAUGACACAUGUCAUUUAUUUGAAAGGGGCAAUUGCUCCACUACAAGAUGGACCUGCGUUGUAUUAGCUAGUAGGUGAGGUAAUGGCUCACCUAGGCGACGAUACAUAGCCGACCUGAGAGGGUGAUCGGCCACACUGGGACUGAGACACAGCCCAGACUCCUACGGGAGGCAGCAGUAGGGAAUCUUCGGCAAUGGGGGCAACCCUGACCGAGCAACGCCGCGUGAGUGAAGAAGGUUUUCGGAUCGUAAAGCUCUGUUGUAAGUCAAGAACGGGUGUGAGAGUGGAAAGUUCACACUGUGACGGUAGCUUACCAGAAAGGGACGGCUAACUACGUGCCAGCAGCCGCGGUAAUACGUAGGUCCCGAGCGUUGUCCGGAUUUAUUGGGGUAAAGCGAGCGCAGGCGGUUUGAUAAGUCUGAAGUUAAAGGCUGUGGCUCAACCAUAGUUCGCUUUGGAAACUGUCAAACUUGAGUGCAGAAGGGGAGAGUGGAAUUCCAUGUGUAGCGGUGAAAUGCGUAGAUAUAUGGAGGAACACCGGUGGCGAAAGCGGCUCUCUGGUCUGUAACUGACGCUGAGGCUCGAAAGCGUGGGGAGCGAACAGGAUUAGAUACCCUGGUAGUCCACGCCGUAAACGAUGAGUGCUAGGUGUUGGAUCCUUUCCGGGAUUCAGUGCCGCAGCUAACGCAUUAAGCACUCCGCCUGGGGAGUACGACCGCAAGGUUGAAACUCAAAGGAAUUGACGGGGGCCCGCACAAGCGGUGGAGCAUGUGGUUUAAUUCGAAGCAACGCGAAGAACCUUACCAGGUCUUGACAUCCCGAUGCUAUUUCUAGAGAUAGAAAGUUACUUCGGUACAUCGGUGACAGGUGGUGCAUGGUUGUCGUCAGCUCGUGUCGUGAGAUGUUGGGUUAAGUCCCGCAACGAGCGCAACCCCUAUUGUUAGUUGCCAUCAUUCAGUUGGGCACUCUAGCGAGACUGCCGGUAAUAAACCGGAGGAAGGUGGGGAUGACGUCAAAUCAUCAUGCCCCUUAUGACCUGGGCUACACACGUGCUACAAUGGUUGGUACAACGAGUUGCGAGUCGGUGACGGCGAGCUAAUCUCUUAAAGCCAAUCUCAGUUCGGAUUGUAGGCUGCAACUCGCCUACAUGAAGUCGGAAUCGCUAGUAAUCGCGGAUCAGCACGCCGCGGUGAAUACGUUCCCGGGCCU
rnacentral:rRNA from 1 species